rnacentral:misc_RNA from 1 species
UUAAGUUCAGCGGGUAUUCCUACCUGAUCCGAGGUCAACAUUUCAGAAGUUGGGUGUUUAACGGCUGUGGACGCGCCGCGCUCCCGAUGCGAGUGUGCAAACUACUGCGCAGGAGAGGCUGCGGCGAGACCGCCACUGUAUUUCGGAGACGGCCACCGCCAAGGCAGGGCCGAUCCCCAACGCCGACCCCCCCGGAGGGG